GAUGAAGAACGUAGCGAAAUGCGAUAAGUAGUGUGAAUUGCAGAAUUCAGUGAAUCAUCGAAUCUUUGAACGCACAUUGCGCCCCCUGGCAUUCCGGGGGGCAUGCCUGUCCGAGCGUCAUUUCUGCCCUCAAGCCCGGCUUGUGUGUUGGGCGUGGUCCCCCCGGUUUAGGGGGGACCUGCCCGAAAGGCAGCGGCGACGUUCCGCCUAGGUCCUCGAGCGUAUGGGGCUUUGUCACCCGCUCGGGAGGGGCCUACGGGCGUUGGCCAUCCACCAUUUUUUUUUACGGUUGACCUCGGAUCAGGUAGGAGUUACCCGCUGAACUUAAGCAUAUCAAUAAGCGGAGGA
rnacentral:misc_RNA from 1 species